rnacentral:rRNA from 1 species
UUAGGAAUUUUGGGCAAUGGGCGAAAGCCUGACCCAGCAACGCCGCGUGGGUGACGAAGGCCUUCGGGUUGUAAAGCCCUUUUCCAGGGGAAGAUAGUGACGGUACCCUGGGAAUAAGCCCCGGCUAACUACGUGCCAGCAGCCGCGGUAAUACGUAGGGGGCAAGCGUUGUCCGGAUUUAUUGGGCGUAAAGCGCUCGCAGGCGGCCUGGCCAAGUCGUGCGUGAAAUCUCCCGGCUCAACUGGGAGCGGUCGUGCGAUACUGGUCGGCUCGAGGCCGGUAGGGGGGAGUGGGAAUUCCGGGUGUAGUGGUGGAAUGCGUAGAUAUCCGAAGGAACACCAGUGGCGAAGGCGGCUCCCUGGACCGGUCCUGACGCUCAGGAGCGAAAGCGUGGGUAGCGAUCCGGAUUAGAUACCCGGGUAGUCCACGCCGUAAACGAUGAGCACUAGGUGUCGGGGGUAUCGACCCCCCCGGUGCCGCAGCUAACGCAAUAAGUGCUCCGCCUGGGGACUACGGCCGCAAGGCU